rnacentral:rRNA from 1 species
GAUGAACGCUGGCGGCGUGCUUAACACAUGCAGGUCGAACGAAGCACCUUAUUCUGAUUUCUUCGGAAUGAAAAAUUUGGUGACUGAGUGGCGGACGGGUGAGUAACGCGUGGGUAACCUGCCUCAUACAGGGGGAUAACAGUUAGAAAUGACUGCUAAUACCGCAUAAGACCACAGCACCGCAUGGUGCAGGGGUAAAAACUCCGGUGGUAUGAGAUGGACCCGCGUCUGAUUAGGUGGUUGGUGGGGUAACGGCCUACCAAGCCGACGAUCAGUAGCCGACCUGAGAGGGUGAACGGCCACAUUGGGACUGCGACACGGCCCAAACUCCUACGGGAGGCAGCAGUGGGGAAUAUUGCACAAUGGGGGAAACCCUGAUGCAGCGACGCCGCGUGAGCGAUGAAGUAUUUCGGUAUGUAAAGCUCUAUCAGCAGGGAAGAAAAUGACGGUACCUGACUAAGAAGCACCGGCUAAAUACGUGCCAGCAGCCGCCGCGG